rnacentral:rRNA from 1 species
CCCACGGGUGGCAGCAGUGGGGGAUAUUGCACAAUGGGGGGAACCCUGAUGCAGCGACGCCGCGUGGGUGAAGAAGCGCCUCGGCGCGUAAAGCCCUGUCAGCAGGGAAGAAAAUGACGGUACCUGAAGAAGAAGCCCCGGCUAACUACGUGCCAGCAGCCGCGGUAAUACGUAGGGGGCAAGCGUUAUCCGGAUUUACUGGGUGUAAAGGGGGCGCAGACGGCGAUGCAAGCCAGGAGUGAAAGCCCGGGGCCCAACCCCGGGACUGCUCUUGGAACUGCGUGGCUGGAGUGCAGGAGGGGCAGGCGGAAUUCCUGGUGUAGCGGUGAAAUGCGUAGAUAUCAGGAGGAACACCGGCGGCGAAGGCGGCCUGCUGGACCGCGACUGACGUUGAGGCUCGAAAGCGUGGGGAGCGAACAGGAUUAGAUACCCGGGUAGUC